CAAUCACGAGGUUCCAGAAAACAUUGUAUAUUUAUUUAAAAAGUAAUUUUCUAUGAAUGAAAUAUUUCUUAAGGUUCUGCCUUUCUUUCCUUCCACUCAACAGGAAACAAAAUUACUGGAUUUAUGGUCAAGGAAAAUCACUAACCCACAGCCCUCAGAUGCACUCAUGAAAAUGGGAAGAAUGCAUACACAGGGAUCAGAGAACAGAGAAACAGGUGAAUCUUGUGGUUGGAAAGAAACGCACUUUGGAUUAUUCCAGCCUCUGUGA
rnacentral:lncRNA from 1 species